rnacentral:rRNA from 1 species
GACGAACGCUGGCGGCGCGCUUAACACAUGCAAGUCGAACGGAAAGGCCUGCUUUCCCUUGUGGAUUGCGGGUACUCGAGUGGCGAACGGGUGAGUAACACGUGAGUGAUCUGCCCCCAACUUGGGUAUAAGCCUGGGAAACUGGGUCUAAUUCCCGAUAGGACUGCAGGGUGGUGCCUGUGGUGGAAAACGAUUUUCUAGUGGUUGGGGAUGAGCUCGCGGCCUAUCAGCUUGUUGGUGGGGUAAUGGCCUACCAAGGCGGCGACGGGUAGCCGGCCUGAGAGGGUGGACGGCCACAUUGGGACUGAGAUACGGCCCAGACUCCUACGGGAGGCAGCAGUGGGGAAUAUUGCACCAUGGGCGGAAGCCUGAUGCAGCGACGCCGCGUGGGGGAUGACGGCCUUCGGGUGGUAAACUCCUUUCGACCGCGAGGAAGCCACCUGGUUGGAAGGGUGGUGACGGUAGUGGUAGAAGAAGCACCGGCUAACUACGUG